rnacentral:rRNA from 1 species
AUUGAACGCUGGCGGCAUGCCUUACACAUGCAAGUCGAACGGCAGCACGGGUGCUUGCACCUGGUGGCGAGUGGCGCACGGGUGAGUAAUACAUCGGAACAUGUCCUGUAGUGGGGGAUAGCCCGGCGAAAGCCGGAUUAAUACCGCAUACGAUCCACGGAUGAAAGCGGGGGACCUUCGGGCCUCGCGCUAUAGGGUUGGCCGAUGGCUGAUUAGCUAGUUGGUGGGGUAAAGGCCUACCAAGGCGACGAUCAGUAGCUGGUCUGAGAGGACGACCAGCCACACUGGGACUGAGACACGGCCCAGACUCCUACGGGAGGCAGCAGUGGGGAAUUUUGGACAAUGGGCGAAAGCCUGAUCCAGCAAUGCCGCGUGUGUGAAGAAGGCCUUCGGGUUGUAAAGCACUUUUGUCCGGAAAGAAAUCCUUGACUCUAAUACAGUCGGGGGAUGACGGUACCGGAAGAAUAAGCACCGGCUAACUACGUG